rnacentral:lncRNA from 1 species
CAGAGCAUGGGAAGAAUAAGGUGAAACCCUUGUUUGCUAAUUCCAUCAAUUGAAUUGAAAUUUCAAAGAGAAUCUAGCGCAUGAACUUCAAUUUACACUCAUCUAAACUCGAUUAUUGAAGUUGCGUGAAAGAAGAAGGCUCAACUGCUAAGAAAAUGGAAAGCUCACAAGAUCGAGGUGAUAGCUCGGACCUUACUAAUGAUGAUCAAGCAUAAGGACGAACCGAACACAACUGAAGUUCAAGCUUCCGCUUAGUUUUGUUAUUUUACGAGCUGAAUCACUUAUGAACUUUGUAAGGGUUUUAUAUUUUAUGAACGUAUUA